rnacentral:rRNA from 1 species
AACGAACGCUGGCGGCAGGCUUAACACAUGCAAGUCGAACGGAUGUAGCAAUACAUUAGUGGCGCACGGGUGAGUAACGCGUGGGAACGUACCCUUAGAUACGGGACAACAUCGGGAAACUGAUGCUAAUACCGUAUAAUGUCUUCGGACCAAAGAUUUAUCGUCUAAGGAUCGGCCCGCGUUAGAUUAGGUAGUUGGUGAGGUAAAGGCUCACCAAGCCGACGAUCUAUAGCUGGUCUGAGAGGAUGAUCAGCCACACUGGGACUGAGACACGGGCCGGACUCCUAAGGGAGGCAGGAGUGAGGAAUAUUGGACAAUGGAGGAAACUCUGAUCCAGCCAUGCCGCGUGAGUGAAGAAGGCCUUCGGGUUGUAAAGCUCUUUUGUCCCUGGCGAUAAUGACAGUAGGGGAAGAAAAAGCCACGGCUAACUUCGUGCCAGCCGCCGCCGUAA